UUUAGAGUGGCGGAGCUUGGGGACGCAUACGGUCUAAGACCGUGGGACGGGGGAUUUCCCUCCUCUGCUUAGAGU
rnacentral:tRNA from 1 species